rnacentral:sRNA from 1 species
UUUCAGCACCGUCUCGUCGGUCAUGCGCAGCGACAGGCGUUGAUCGUCGGCGACGCGGACGGCGCCGCGAACGGGGAGGAUAGACGGGAGGUCGACCGGUCCGUCGGCGCUCGCCAGACGGCGGACCAGGC